rnacentral:rRNA from 1 species
AUUGACCGCUGGCGGCAGGCCUAACACAUGCAAGUCGAGCGAGCGGCGGACGGGUGAGUACUGUAUGGGGCUCUUCCUGAUAGAGGGGGAUAACUACUGGAAACGGUGGCUAAUACCGCAUAAUAUAGGAUGAACCCCUAUUGGAUUAGCUAGUAGGUGGGGUAAAGGCUCACCUAGGCGACGAUCUCUCGCUGGUCUGAGAUGAGGAUCGGCCACACGGGGACAGAGACACGGCCCAGAGUCCUACGGGAGGCAGCAGUGGGGAAGAGGGCACAAUGGGGGCAAGCAUGAUGAAGCCAUGCCGCGUGUAUGAAGAAGGCCUUAGGUUUGUAAAGUACUUUCAGCGUGGAGGCGUUACCCGCAGAAGAAGCACCGGCUAACUCCGUGCCAGCAGCCGCGGUAAUAC